UUGAGGAGAAGAGAAUUCUGAAUGAGGAGGUCAAAUCCAGAAUCAGAAGAGCUGCAGCCAACUGCCACAGAGUACCCAGGCUUGUGUAUGAAAGAAGAAUGUAUGACCAGUCCUACUACAUGGUACAGAAAACUGGAGUGUGAAGACUGUGAAGGCAGAUGAGCUGAGAUCAUCAAAUGACUGUCUGGUUUAUGGACUGAAGAGUCUUGGAGUGAUACUACUUUUGCCAGCACAUACCUUUGAACUUUGUGGGACUACCUUCAUUGGAUCCUGUUAACGGAGAACAUUUGAGAUUUUACACUGUGUCAUUAAAGUACUUUAUUACACUUCUCACAUAUUAGUGUUUUAUAGUAAAUUGUAUUCCUGAUGUUAAAGCUGUAAGUGGUUUUAAAAUAAAACAAAGACCAUGACAUGUUUUCCAAUGUUUUAGAUUCACUGUUCACUCACUUUUUCAUUAUGAUCACACCCAAAAAAUGAUAUCAGCUUAAGUACUGACUUAAUAAAGGAUUUUUGACUGGAAACAGA